rnacentral:tRNA from 1 species
CGGCGGUUAGCUCAGUUGGUUAGAGCGGUCGCCGCGGCGACAGGUCACUGGUUCGAGUCCAGUCUCGCCCACCA